rnacentral:rRNA from 1 species
AACGAACGCUGGCGGCAUGCCUAACACAUGCAAGUCGAACGAGACCUUCGGGUCUAGUGGCGCACUGGUGCGUAACGCGUGGGAACCUGCCCUUAGGUUCGGAAUAACUCCCCGAAAGGGGUGCUAAUACCGGAUAAUGUCUUCGGACCAAGGAUUUAUCGCCUUUGGAUGGGCCCGCGUUGGAUUAGCUAGUUGGUAGGGUAAAAGCCUACCAAGGCUACGAUCCAUAGCUGGUCUGAGAGGAUGAUCAGCCACACUGGGACUGAGACACGGCCCAGACUCCUACGGGAGGCAGCAGUGGGGAAUAUUGGACAAUGGGGGAAAGCAUGAAGCAGCAAUGCCGGGUGAGUGAUGAAGGCCUUAGGGUUGUAAAGCUCUUUUACACGGGAUGAUAAUGACAGUACCGGGAGAAUAAGCACCGGCUAACUCCGUG